rnacentral:rRNA from 1 species
UGCAUAUCAUAAGCGGAGGAAAAGAAACCAACAGGGAUUGCCCCAGUAACGGCGAGUGAAGCGGCAGGAGCUCAAAUUUGAAAUCUGACCUCCUCCGGGGGUCCGAGUUGUAAUUUGCAGAGGAUGCUUCGGGUGCGGCCCCCGUCUAAGUUCCUUGGAACAGGACGUCAGAGAGGGUGAGAAUCCCGUCUUGGGCGGGCGGCCCGCGCCCGUGUGAAGAUCCUUCGACGAGUCGAGUUGUUUGGGAAUGCAGCUCUAAGCGGGUGGUAAAUUUCAUCUAAAGCUAAAUACUGGCCGGAGACCGAUAGCGCACAAGUAGAGUGAUCGAAAGGUUAAAAGCACCUUGAAAAGGGAGUUAAACAGCACGUGAAAUUGUUGAAAGGGAAGCGCUUGCGGCCAGACUCGGGGGCGGGGUUCAGCGGGCGCUCGUCGCCCGUGCACUCCCCGCGCCCCGGGCCAGCAUCAGUUUCGACGGCCGGUCAAAGGCCCCCGGAAUGUGUCGUCUCUAGGGACGUCUUAUAGCCGGGGGUGCAAUGCGGCCCGUCGGGACUGAGGAACGCGCUCCGGCUCGGAUGCUGGCGUAAUGGCCGUAAGCGGCCCGUCUUGAAACACGGACCAAGGAGUCUAACAUCCACGCGAGUGUUCGGGUGUCAAACCCGUGCGCGCAGUGAAAGCGAACGGAGGUGGGAGCCUUUGGGCGCACCAUCGACCGAUCCUGAAGUCUUCGGAUGGAUUUGAGUAGGAGCGUGGCCGUUGGGACCCGAAAGAUGGUGAACUAUGCCUGAGUAGGGUGAAGCCAGAGGAAACUCUGGUGGAGGCUCGCAGCGGUUCUGACGUGCAAAUCGAUCGUCAAAUUUGGGCAUAGGGGCGAAAGACUAAUCG